rnacentral:lncRNA from 1 species
AAGGAAUCUAUACAUAUAUAAAACCCCUUUUUACCCCGUGUCAUAAUCAGAGCGGAGCUUCACCACGAACUCGGACAAGGCUAACAGAUAACCUGUCAACCUGGACCCCCAAAGGUCCAGAAAUUACACAUAGCAGAGAGUUAGAAAUCAUAACCAAAAAUACAAGUGCGAGCAGUAUACUACACACUUCACACACUAUCAUACACUUCUAACUCACGCACAUGCAUCAUCUACAAAACAUCUAACACAUCAAUCAAGUCUAGCAAACAUAGACAAGUAAUCCACAAAGCAAACAAUGCCACAUAACACUUAUCACAAAUAUGCAUAUGCAAGGAAACACAUAAUUCCUAAUGCAACUAAUGCCAAUUAAAUAUGCCAUGCCAUCCUAGACACAACUAAUGCAUGUGGUACCAUCUUCGUUAUUGGACGAAUCCAAUAUCCUUCGUUAUCAGACGAAUUUGAUAUCCUUCGUUAUCGGACGAAUCCGAUAUCCCUAAUAAAUGCAUGAAUGCAUGAUGUCCUAGACACAACUAAUGCAUGUAUGCAAACACUUAUCAAACAUAUGAUAAUCACUAGCACAAGGCUAUUCCUCACAAUAUGGAUAACAUAAUCCAAAAUACUUCUUUAUUAAGAUAACACAAUAUCUUAAUAUUCUUCUUUAUUGGACGAAUCCAAUAUACAAAACACAAUUAAUAAUAUACAAAACACAAAUACAUCAAACAAUCAUUCAAACAUGUUUAAUACACAUAAGAAAACAUACUCACAAACAUACAUAUAUACCUAAUCAAAACAUCUACACAUUCCCUCUUGAUUUCCCCAAGAUUGUUUAUUACAUAUACAAGGAUCAAAAGGUCAUACUCUUUAUUUAUGAAAAUCACCCAAUACCCAAAAGAAAUUGAGUGAGAGAGUUUGGAAACGAAGAUAUCGACAAUCUCCCCUCUCUAUCAACCACUCAAGGAUUAUGGAAUCUAACUCUCAUACCUUAGCCUCGAUGAUUCCUCAAGAUUUCUCUAGCUCUCAAGCUCCUCCUCUCUCUCACGGCCUCUACCUCAUCUUGCCCAAGCACACCACUUCCUUGGCUCUAGCUUAGAGAUGAUGAUCCAUGAACUCCUAUGGUUCCAACAAGCUUCUAAUGGAUCAAUUUGGUUAAGGAAUGGAAUUUUGGUGAGGUUAGGAAUGCAAAGAAAGGCUCACGGCCUAGAGGAGAAAUAAUGAAUGAAUUUG